AAACUCUGUAAUGUCAAAAAGUAACAAGACUUGUUUAUUUCAAAUGAACUUGCCAUGGCUCAUUCUGGGUUCUGGGGGUGCAUGCAGAAGACCCGGCCUCUGUCUACACUGGGAUGGGGAGUACGGCAGCCGUGGAGGGGUGGCGGCUCCCCUCUGAACACCAACAGGUUUGGCUACUGCAGGUUCUCUGCUCAGCCGGGUCCAUUCCUUGGUCUAUACCCAAGAAAUCUGAAGACAUACAUCGCCUGAGACCUGGUACACAGCGGCCACAGCAGCGACUCACAGUAGCUAGAUCAUGGACGCAGCCUACAUGCUCACCAAGGGAUGAAUGCGACGAGACUAGGCAGUGUAACUACGCAGUGGGAUGUUACUCGGUCAUUAAAAGGAACGAAGUUUUGGAGGAGCUCUGAAAA